rnacentral:lncRNA from 1 species
UAAUUUUGCUAAUCAUAUGGAUUCACAACGUACCUGAAGAAAAUGAUCGUUCAUAGUGUUUUUUGUGACAUUCUGAGUUUUAGCUGAUGGGUUUUUGGUUUUCCUAGAGACAUACAUUUAUUUUUUUAAGUCUUCUGUUUUUAUUUCCUGUUUUCUUGAAAAUUUUAAUUAGUAGUCAAUGAGGCUAAUGGUUUUGUUUUCUCUAGACUUUGCACAAUGGUGCAAACUGUUGAUUUUUUUAGCAUUUUCUAUUUCUGUUUUUUGUUAUUGUGGUUCUUUGAAUGGAAAUUUUACUUUACUUUACAGUUUAUAAAUCACAUGGCUUGAUUGGGGAUGUCUGAAUAGAACAUAUUAUAGAAGUUUCACAUUAGAUAUCUCUUAUAUGUAUGCU